GACUUCAAUUGUUCACCUUAGUAGAUAAGCUGAUUCUUAUUACACACCUAUAAACCAGGCUCAUCAAAUAAUAGAUCCAACUAUAAUAUCUAUGGCGGGUAUAUCUAUUGUUUGGAUUCAAGUUCUAGUUAAUUACUCUAGAACUAGCAUUAAGAACAAUUAAAGAUGAAGAAUUCUACAGAUAACCUAGCACGGGGCGAUCUACUAAACCAUAUGAAUCCCUAAUGAGAAACCCUAAACCUAACAGGUGGAUUACUCAGACAUGAUCAAAGAAACACAAAUCAUAGUCUGAAUACGAAAUAAAUAGUCAAUAUAUCAAGAGAAAGAGUAAGAAAGAUCUUAUCUAAAGGGAGUCUCCAUAGGGUUUUGCUCCCAAGAACAAAAGAGAUAAGGAGAAUAGCCUCUCCAAGCUUAGGUCUAAACAAUGACCUAAAAACUAUACAUAUGAUCUAAAAACGUGAUGGACCUUCUUUAGAAAUAAGGGAAAGUUAUGGGCCGAAUUUGGAAAUCUUCAAAACGUCAAUAAGGUGCGUCUUCGAUUUGUCGUCAGGUAUUGGUGUUGCUAGACACCUACACGGUUCAGCAGCAUAAACUCUUUGUUUUCCUCCAGAAUGCUCCAUUAUCUCCAAAUGAAUCUCAAACUUGUAAAGACCUCAAAAGACUAGAAAAGACUCUAGAAAUA
rnacentral:sRNA from 1 species